AUUUCCUUUCCUGAUGAAGUAAAUGCCCUCUCUGAGUCAUACAGUUCAGGGUAGUCCAAAAGGCAGCAAAUAAAGAAGUGCUCCGUGCUCACUGAGUAGAUGUGGAGCCCUAUAAAUAAUACAAUAAGGUGUGUCCAUCAUAUCAGGGUGUGCGUAAAAGAUUGCUGCUUGAUAGUCUGUGUGUGUGAAAAGAUCAGACGCUUGGAGAGUGGUAGGCAAGCAAAAAGAAGUCAAGAGAUGGGUCAGGGCCUCCUCACUGUCUGAAGUCUCUGCUCUGCUUUACUUUCACCAUCUGGUUCCAGAGAAGCCAAACCAAAUCAUUUACUGCAUAUCUUGCCUUGCUGUAAAUUUACAUUUGGCAUCAGGAUACAGCUGUACUGACUCUUCCCAAGAGCUCAGUCGUAGUUGAAGAUCCUUUGAGUCUGUACUGCGCAAACCUGAAAAAAGAUUCCACCUCAUGGAGUGCAAGAUGCUGGAAGCACAGUAGCUUUGAAUUUCUUCAGUUCAGCUAAAGGUAGAGGGGAAUAAGCUAUAUUCCAAAUAACCUCAGGACUAUGUACUUGAGUUAAGGUACAUAAAGGAGCGAGCAGCACCAUGUAAGCAGCUGUGGACUGGCAUGAAGAUAGAUGGUGUCUGGGAUGAGAAGGGUUGAAAAGAAGAGAAGAAGCAAAAGGUUUUUUCCAUUGCGGCAGAGCUCUGUCAUGGACGUGGCGUCGGGAACUGUGGAGGCCGUGCCUGUGGGGAGGGUUGGUAUUUUCUUUGGCACCAAAGAAAAGAGCAGUCAGUAAAGGAAAGAGUUUGGAAAAAAAUGCUUUAUAUGUGCAAGACCAAUUAGCAAGGCAAGAGACAUGGCUGUGCAGCAGGUUUUCUGAGGAGAGAAUUCACAUCAAAACUAUUGGGUGUCUGUGACACUUUCGAAGGUACCGGGAAAAACCCAUCAACAACAAAGCUGUGACGCUGUCAGCAGCUGCCUGACGUACCCGGGGCUGUGUACGUCCCUCGGUGAACGUCAGAGCUCUGCAGUGAGGAGGGAAGAUCAUUCUCACUGGAACAAAUCCCACUGAGAUGAGAUUUUC